GGGUUGUGAGGUUAAGCGACUAAGCGUACACGGUGGAUGCCCUGGCAGUCAGAGGCGAUGAAGGACGUGCUAAUCUGCGAUAAGCGCCGGUAAGGUGAUAUGAACCGUUAUAACCGGCGAUUUCCGAAUGGGGAAACCCAGUGUGACUCGUCACACUAUCAUUAACUGAAUCCAUAGGUUAAUGAGGCGAACCGGGGGAACUGAAACAUCUAAGUACCCCGAGGAAAAGAAAUCAACCGAGAUUCCCCCAGUAGCGGCGAGCGAACGGGGAGGAGCCCAGAGCCUGAAUCAGCAUGUGUGUUAGUGGAAGCGUCUGGAAAGGCGCGCGAUACAGGGUGACAGCCCCGUACACAAAAGCGCAUGUGCUGUGAGCUCGAUGAGUAGGGCGGGACACGUGGUAUCCUGUCUGAAUAUGGGGGGACCAUCCUCCAAGGCUAAAUACUCCUGACUGACCGAUAGUGAACCAGUACCGUGAGGGAAA
rnacentral:rRNA from 2 species